rnacentral:rRNA from 1 species
CCCUUAGAUGUUCUGGGCUGCACGCGCGCUACACUGAAGCGUUCAACGAGUAUUCACCUUGCCCGGGAGGGUUGGGUAAUCUUUUGAAAACGCUUCGUGAUGGGGAUAGAUUAUUGCAAUUUUUAAUCUUCAACGAGGAAUUCCUAGUAAACGCAAGUCAUCAGCUUGCAUUGAUUACGUCCCUGCCCUUUGUACACACCGCCCGUCGCACCUACCGAUUGGAUGGUCCGGUGAAGCCCUCGGAUUGGCCCUGAGCUUUUUGUGACGGGACGAGAAGUAGGCUAAACCUUACCAUCUAGAGGAAGGUGAAGUCGUAACA